UAUGGCAUAUCGAUCGGUGGGAGUUGCGGAUGUAUUGAGUAUUAUCACACACAUUAAAUGAAGUAUUAGAGUUUGCCUAUGUUUUAAGGGCUAAUUUGGGACAACAUUAGUAGCUUGUGAAUGUGUGAUGAAACCGUAAAAGUUAAUUAAAAAUAAUAUUAUCAUCUUAUUCCUACCCAUAUGAUAAUGUUGGUGCUUUUAUGAUUAUAUCUCUAGUUAAUAAGUUUAAAACAAUAAGUUUGUAUUUUAACUUG
rnacentral:lncRNA from 1 species